CCCUUAGAUGUUCUGGGCCGCCCGCGCGCUACACUGAUGCAUUCAACGAGCCUAUCCUUGACCGACAGGUCCGGGUAAUCUUUGAAUCUGCAUCGUGACGGGGAUAGAUUAUUGCAAUUAUUAAUCUUCAACGAGGAAUGCCUAGUAGGCGCAAGUCAUCAGCUUGCGUCGAUUACGUCCCUGCCCUUUGUACACACCGCCCGUCGCUCCUACCGAUUGGGUGUGCUGGUGAAAUGUUCGGAUCGGCCGUUUGUCGCGGUUUCCGCGGCUCGUGGCUGAGAAGUUCAUUAAACCCUCCCACCUAGAGGAAGGAGAAGUCGUAACA
rnacentral:rRNA from 1 species